rnacentral:rRNA from 1 species
AGAGUUUGAUCCUGGCUCAGAACGAACGCUGGCGGCAGGCUUAACACAUGCAAGUCGAACGCAUCCUUCGGGGUGAGUGGCAGACGGGUGAGUAACGCGUGGGAAUCUACCCAUCCCUACGGGAUAGCUCCGGGAAACUGGAGAUAAUACCGUAUACGUCCUCCGGGAGAAAGAUUUAUCGGGGAUGGAUGAGCCCGCGUUGGAUUAGCUAGUUGGUGGGGUAAUGGCCUACCAAGGCGACGAUCCAUAGCUGGUCUAAGAGGAUGAUCAGCCACAUUGGGACUGAGACACGGCCCAAACUCCUACGGGAGGCAGCAGUGGGGAAUAUUGGACAAUGGGCGCAAGCCUGAUCCAGCCAUGCCGCGUGAGUGAUGAAGGCCCUAGGGUUGUAAAGCUCUUUCAGUGGGGACGAUAAUGACGGUACCCACAGAAGAAGCCCCGGCUAACUUCGUGCCAGCAGCCGCGGUAAUACGAAGGGGGCUAGCGUUGUCCGGAAUUACUGGGCGUAAAGAGUUCGUAGGCGGUUUGUCGCGUCGUUUGUGAAAACCCGGGGCUCAACUUCGGGCUUGCAGGCGAUACGGGCAGACUUGAGUGUUUCAGGGGAGACUGGAAUUCCUGGUGUAGCGGUGAAAUGCGCAGAUAUUGGGAGGAACACCGGUGGCGAAGGCGGGUCUCUGGGAAACAACUGACGCUGAGGAACGAAAGCGUGGGUAGCAAACAGGAUUAGAUACCCUGGUAGUCCACGCCGUAAACGGUGGGCGCUAGGUGUGGGUUCCUUCCACGGAAUCUGUGCCGUAGCUAACGCAUUAAGCGCCCCGCCUGGGGAGUACGGCCGCAAGGCUAAAACUCAAAGGAAUUGACGGGGGCCCGCACAAGCGGCGGAGCAUGUGGAUUAAUUCGAUGCAACGCGAAGAACCUUACCUGGGUUUGACAUACACCGGAAAGCUGUAGAGAUACGGCCCCCCUUGUGGUCGGUGUACAGGUGGUGCAUGGCUGUCGUCAGCUCGUGUCGUGAGAUGUUGGGUUAAGUCCCGCAACGAGCGCAACCCUUGUCUUAUGUUGCCAGCGCGUUAUGGCGGGGACUCGUAAGAGACUGCCGGGGUCAACUCGGAGGAAGGUGGGGACGACGUCAAGUCAUCAUGCCCCUUAUGUCCAGGGCUUCACACAUGCUACAAUGGCCAGUACAGAGGG